rnacentral:snRNA from 1 species
AUACUGACCUGGUGGGAGAGAUACUGUGAUCAUCAACGCAGUGUGCUCUCAGGGUAAAGCCCACUCAUUGCACUCUGGGUGGGUUAACCUUUGCUACUACUCCAAAUAUGGGGAAACUCGACCAUAUAAGUCGUGAUAGUGGAGGAUUGCAUUCGCACUAUCCCAUG